rnacentral:rRNA from 1 species
AUCAGGUAACAGGCAAGACCCACAUGUAUAUUUGCUAUUUCAAUAUACAGAUUGCCUUGGUAACGAGGAUGAAAGUGUGGGCUACGUUAGGUGAGUACAGCCCGACAGCCCUGGGCAACACGGGCGCGUCAAUGGUGAAUACAACGAGACGCGACUCUGAGAAGAGAAGCUAAUCUCUUAAAGUUCAUCUCAGUCUAGAUUGAGGAUUGUAACUCAUCCUCAUGACACUGGAAUCCGUAGUAAUCGUUUAUUAUCAAUGAACGGUGAAUACGUCACUGUCUCUUGCACACACUGCCUGUCAAACCAACCGAGUUUAUUUAUGGUGAAACAUUUCGAUGGAGAACUUUGAGUAGACAAGGUAGGUUAAGUCAACACAAGGUAUCUGUA